rfam:Triticum aestivum genome assembly, contig: Triticum_aestivum_CS42_TGACv1_scaffold_502293_6BL
AUUGUACUCCCUCCGUUCGAAAAUACUUGUCAUGAAAAUGGAUAAAAAUGAAUGUAUCUAGAACUAAAAUACAUCUAUAUACAUCUUAUUUUAUCCAUUUUGAUGACAAUUAUUUCCGGACGGAGGGAGUAGUAC